GCCGCCAUGGCUUAGUGGUACAGCGUCUCACUCGUAAGCGUGAUCAUGAGAAGAUCGGCGGUUCGAUUCCGCCUGGUGGCA